CCAGACGUUUACACAUAUACAACUCUUAUUGAUGCGCUCUGCAAGUCAGGGGACCUUGACAGGGCUCACAGCCUCUUGCAAGAGAUGUUAGAUAAAGGAAUUAAGCCAACUAUAGUGACUUACAAUGUUUUGAUGAAUGGUUUUUGCAUGUCAGGCAGGGUAGAAGGAGGAAAGAAGCUGCUUGAUUGGAUGCUCGAGAAAAACAUACAUCCAAAUGCUGCAACUUACAAUUCUCUUAUGAAGCAGUACUGCAUUGAAAAUAACAUGAAGUCUACCACCGAGAUCUAUAAGGGGAUGCGUUCUCGAGAUGUAGGGCCAAAUGAGAAUACAUACAAUAUAUUGAUCAAGGGUCACUGCAAGGCAAGAAAUAUGAAAGAGGCACUAUAUUUCCACGAUGAAAUGAUACAGAAGGGUUUCAGACUUACUGCAACCUCAUACAGUGCUCUUAUAAGAUUGCUGAAUAAAAAGAAGAAAUUUGUUGAAGCAAGAGAACUGUUUCAUGAUAUGAGGAAGGAGGGUUUGACAGCUGAAUCAGAUGUAUACGAUUUUUAUAUUGAUCUCAACUUUAAUGAGGACAAUUUGGAGUCGACUCUUGCUCUUUGUGAUGAACUGGUGGAAGCCAGUAUUGUGAAAUCAUAAACUGAAAUGGAUCAAGAUGUUGUAAAGGAACAUAUACAUUAGGAACAUAAUUUUGGCUGGUUAUGUCAUGCUAGCUUCUUCAGGAUUGUGUUUGCAUGCAGUGUGAAUACAAGAUCCAGAGAUAGUACUGUUCCUUUUCACGAUGCUAAAACUGGUAAUUGAGGGUAAAAUCAUGCCUAAUGGUACAAGAGAUAUUACACACUGGAACUUCUUGGUGAUAAUGGAUGGGUUACACACUGAAAACGGCAUCAGCUAUUCACUUGAUGCAACAAAAGGCAUGUUUUCUUCUGGUAAUCUUUCAGAGAAGCUUCGCAUGGGACAGCUAAACUGCAGAAAUGAGGUGGUGGUGGAUUUAUUUGCUGGAAUUGGAUACUUUGUUCUUCUGUUUCUUGUGAAGGCUAAUGGCAAGCUAUUUUAUGCAUGCGAAGGGAAUCCAUAUGCUCUGGAGGCUCUUUGGCGCAAUGUAUUAUACUUGAAGGAGAUAACCGGGUGACUGCACCCAAAAUCGACGAAGCGGGUGACAAGACCGAAGUGGCCACAGCUUCAGGUGGUUGAGCGAGAGGCGAGGGGCCACGCUUUCAUCAGAUGAUCAGUUGAUCACCAUCCCUUCCCGCUGCAGACCUCUCUGCCGUAGUUUAUCUUGUACUACACUGAUUGAAAUUUCCUCCACGCUUUCUUGUGUUCUUUGUCAUUUCCUUCACUUGCGCGGUCAAGAUCAUAUCCCAAUCUUGCCGUCGAUCUGGUUUGUUGGUU